ACCCACACCAUUCGACUAACACCCAGGUACCUACUUGCUAGGUGAACAGGACAACAGGUUUAAGGAAAUGCAUCGAAUGUUUUCACCCCGCCAGGAAUCGAACCCGGACACUCUGCAUGUGAAACAAGAACUAUGCCAGCCAGGCCACGGGGCCCUGGGUUCGACUCCUGGAUUAAGUGAUUCAUAUGAUGGGCAUCUCUUCAAGCUGCUGCUCAUUUCACCUAGAUUAGGAAAGGGCAAAACGUGGUCCAUGUACUUAUUCGACCCGCCAAGGAGUCCUGUCAGCCCCAUCCCCCUCCACUCACUGUGUCUAGCAAUUAUGAAAGUUAACAAUGCCUUCAAUUUAAGGAAGAGUUCAUAUUUAUUUAUCUCUUAGUCAGAAGAUAAGAUUUAUACUUUUAACACGGAGGGUUAGCCACCCAAGAUAACCCAAUAAAGUCAGUGAUCCAUUAUCCAUCAUAAUGAAAUGUGUCAAGGUAAACAUAUCUAUGGAGAAAGUUGAAAAAGGUCAGUAGAUCCUAUCAGAUAUAUCUCCAUGCAAGCCUUACAGGAUAUACCAAAACUUCUCAUUGUUAAUGAUAUCUGAAAACUUGAAGUUGUAUCCACAUUUUGGGUCGACUGGAUUAACAGACGGUAUUUAUAGAUAACAACCCAGUUAUGACCAAUGAUGUAACAAUGCUCGAUGGGGUCUAACACACAGUGACCUCUGUAAUCCUUUUUUUUUUUUUUGCGCUACCGUUCACAGGCUGAGCAGUAGGACAUGGGUUGCACCUGAACCAGCCUGACUCAGGCAACACUAACUUCACACACAGUGAAGAGGCGGGGCCAAGAGCUGAGUCUCGAUCCCUGCAACCACAGUUAGGAAAUCACGGAAUUUCCGAAGAGCUGUAUAAAAAGGGACUUUAUCGAGUGCCCUUGGAAGCUGUGCACAGCGUGCAGACGAUGAUGGCAUCACCCAUACGUGCUGAAAAGAAAACAAAACAGGGUGGGCCAUGCAGCCUCAGCUUCAGACAGGUAUGGAGGUAUGUCACCUCUCCACACCUUCAAGAACCUAAUAUCUAACCCUAGUGUGGGCAAUACCUGCUGAAGGGUUCUGAAGGUGGGUAUGGCUGUCACAUAUAUAAAGACAUAGGCAGCAAUUAAAUAAACUGAAAUCCAUGCAAAUGGAAAGAAUGCUUAACAAACAUAUUUAAGAAAGAAAAAAAGGAGAAGCAGUGAAAUGCAGAAAGCAAGAGGUUCAUACAAGGGUAAAGAAAAACUGAAAAUCUGAAAACAAUAAUAAUGUCUAAAGGCUGUUGUUGAAAGCAAGAAUGUUAAGCAGUGUGGUGUGAUUAAAUAAAAUGACAGAUUUCUUUGGAAAGCUACAGCAACUUUAUCAUCAAAACACCAUUCAGAAACUACGAAAAUUUUUUGGUAAUGUUGUUGUUGCAUUUUUAAUUGUUAGUGAUGGCACCAAAAGAAAGAGAAAAAUUUAACAAGACUUACUGAAAAACUAACUCAAUCAUCUUCAGAUUGUGUGCAGUGUUGCACGAAUUAAAAAAAAAAAAAUGCUCUAUGCAGAUGUAGUACAACAGUGACUGCUUAUUGACAGAAAUUUUAAUAUCUUUUAUCAAUAAAUAAGGUCAUGUUAGAGCAAAUGACUGCAGUAUCAAGUAUGGUAUGAAAAAACAUGAUAAAAAAAUUUUUUUAUUUGUAAAGAAUUCUUAAAAUAAAUGGUGAAAAGAAACUUGAGAUAGUGGAAUAAGUUGUGAGCAGAUAGUGUCAAAUCAUGAAGGUUAAAUAAGAAAAUGAGACAGAGGAUAAUGUAACCCAUAUAUAUACAGUGGAACCUCGGUACGCGACCUUAAUUCAUUCCAGAAGGCUGUUCGAGUGCCGCUCCAUUUGAGUAUUGAACAAGUUCUUCCCAACUAAUUUUCUGUUUGGUUGGCUGUUAUCACUAAUCAUCGUAGGCCCCAUAGUGACUUAUUUAUAUACAUAAUACAAAAAACACCAAAAAAUGCGAAGAAACACAAAAUAAUUUACAGAAAAGUUCUGGCAGGUCGUAUUUGUUUGGUCAAGUGCUGGGCUUUGUUUGAGUAGGGAGCUGAUCGUACACCGAGGUUCCACUAUAUUUGACAGGACAGUGAAACCAAAUAAACAAAUUUACAGUGAGAAUAGUGCAAACAUCCGGAAAGGAUCUUCUGAGAGGUUAUUGUGAAGUGUUAUAGGUCUAAGACUAAAUAAAGAAAUGGGAAAUCACCGGAAAUUACAGCUGACUGGCAGUGAAAAGUUCUGUACUGAUGAACCAGAAAUAGAUGAACAAAUAUGAAUGAGGAGAAAUAACACAAGCAGUGUAUAUGAGCAAAGAAAACUAUACAUACUGAGAAUUAUUUAGGAAAUAUAUGUUCACUGUGUUGAAGUAUAAGUAGCAAGAUAAGUGUGUGUGGAGAUGGUCCAGCAUGGUGGACCCUGCUGGAAAAUGGAGAAAUAUUUAUAGAAUAUUUAAUAAUUUUAUUUACCAAAAAAAAUAUUUCUACUCGUUUUUUUUAUUUUAUUGCACUUCUUCUGAUAAUGUUUGUGCUGAGAGUCUUUACUCCAAAACAGAUAGAUACCUGUAACGAGUUACAGUGUUAUGAAAUCUAAUCAUUUACAUGAAUAAUACAGCUUGUAAUACAAAACAGAUGCCCCUUUUUUUUGUAACAGUGAAGAAGAUCUUGCCUAUUUACCUUGAUCGUAGAAGCUCGCUUUCAUGACAGAUUGUGGAAAUUAAAUUUUUUGUUAGUUGUACAGCCACAAGAGUAGUUUGUGUAUUUUCAUUUUUGGCUCAAAUAAUAUAACUGGAAGUAAACUAUUUUUGUAUUUUGAGUAUAGCAUUUACAUUUAAUCCAACUGUGCAUUAGGUUAUAACAUUAUGUCUAUAACAUACAAAUAUAAACAAAAUUCUCUACUUGUGAGUUAUCUCAACACACAAAUCCUUUAUCAGUAAUUAGAAAUCUGCUUCCAGUAGCUCAGCUUUACUAAAGCUUCACUUAUUCAUAAAAGUUAUAUCAAAUGCAAACACUGUGACCUAACCCGGACAAUCUUAAUGUGAAAUUUGCCAUUCAUUUACUUUUAAAACAGAACGAAAUUUAUUACUCCUCACUAUUUACUGACUGCCCGAUUACUGCAACAACAACACAAACAGACAUAUUCUGUCAAAGGCCUGUAUUUUUUUGAUAUACUGUAGAAUUUAUUUUAAAUAGAUAUUUAUGUGGAGAAAGAUGUGUACAAGUUACCUUAUUUUUGGCAAUUAUCUUUGAGUGUUCAAGAAACUGAUAUACAUGUUGUCAAUUUCUUCAAAUUUUACUCUAUAACAGCAACAAAAUAAAGCAUGUGUCAUGAGUAGUGUGACUUGAAUACUGGGCAUUUUGCAAGAUACAGUCCAUCACACUGUCCACUGUGGGAUAAGGAUGACUGGAAAAUAUUAGACUGAUAAAAAAUCAAGACUGCAGGAAAGAAAAUCUAAUAUAUUAGUUUGUAUUAUUUGUGUUAUUAAAGUGUACAAUACUGUCUUUUUAAUAUUAUCAGUAUUCACAGCUAAACAAUUAAUGUACUAUUCGUAUUUUAAAUUCUCUUAGAUUUUCAAAAUCAUGCUGAAAAAAAAGUGUAGAGAUUUAAAAUUAAACCACUUUGACAUUAAAUGAAAAUAAUGUCAAAUACCAUCUGAUGCCUAAGUCAAAUAAUAAUCUUCAACAUGAUACAAUGAAUUGUGCUGAAGAUAGCAUUCUUUGACCAAAUUUAAAAUGUCUUGGCGAUCAGUUCAGUUGUAAAUAAUCACUAAAAUGAAUUUCUUGAGUUUAAUGUUAUUGCCUAAAAUGUUAUUAAAUAUUAGAAGUGGAUUACUAACACUAAGCAUCCUUAUACCUAAAUUCCAAGAUGAUACUCUUAUAUUAGAAUAAAAAAUAUAUUUAAACAUCACCAUAAAUAGUAAUACAAUUGUGACUGAAUCAUGACUGACAGGGUUUGAUCCCACAUCUAUGGAAUACAGCCUCUCCUCACUUAACAACAGAGUUCCGUUCCUAAGACCACAUUGUUAAACAAAUUUGUUGCUAAGUGAGGAGCAUACUAUAAUGGUAGUGGGUUUGUGUCAACCAUCUUUGAUAUUGCUAUAAUAUCACCUUUGCACCAUUUAUAAAAUUUCUGGUAUAUUUUUAAAUGUUUAUACAGUUGUUUACUGCAUAUUGAAAUAAGCAGAAUAGAGGAAAUCAGCUCUAAUAUUCAUUAUUUAGGUAUAAAUACUGGUCAGAGACCCCGUCGUAAGUCCAAGGCAUCAGUAAACGAGUACAUCGCUAAGUGAGGAGAGGCUGUAUACGGAAGGAUGUUGCAGUAGAAUGCUUAGAUCUAACCCAUGUUGCAUUAUGGUUCUCACGUGCCUUAUACUACUCGAAAGUGUAAUUUGGCCACCUAUGUCAGUAGGAGAUGGCAUAACAGGCAUUAUCUUCAUUUAAAGCGAGAAAUUUAUCAUAUCGGCAGCUUUCUGGUUACGAAACUAGAAUCAGAUUCAAGCAGAACAUUGGGCAAUGUUGUAAAGAAUUAAUGCUUCAGGUCUUGUUUUAUGCAGCAUUGGUUACAAAGCUAUCCUGGGCUCUUGAUGAAGUGAUCCCUUCUUAGCUGUCUCUCCGUAAAGCAGCACCAAAAUAAAUCGGCACAGUCUACAGAUAAGCAAUAAAAUGAAAAGGGUAAGGAAUAUAAGCUAUGAAUAACAAGGGGAGAUAAUAUCAACAAAAUAAAUAAUGAUAAACAGAUGAGGGGGCAAAAAUAGGCAAAGAUAAUGAAAUAUGAAGAAAGAACUGGAAGGAAUUGUAGAAAAAAUAUUAGAAGAGGGGAAAAUGAUCUUUGGCAGU